GCCUUCUUAGCUCAUUAGGUAGAGCAGUAUCCUUGUAAGAUACAGGUGCAGAGUUCGAAUCUCUGAGAAGGCU
rnacentral:tRNA from 1 species